UUGUCAAAAAUCUAUUAAGGUGAUUUUUUCCCUACAGUAUUCUGGCAAUGGUGACAUUUGCUGUUGUUUGUGUUGUUGGGAUAAUGCAGCUACCACUCACCCCAAUCAUUCUAUUAUUCCAAUUACUGAUCCUAUUUAUGUCCAACAGAAUGCACAGCAACCAAUUCAACAACAACCCAAAAAGAAUCCAGAAGAGGAACAGCCAUUGCAACAAGUUCAACAAGGUCAACCAUCUCCAAUAUCUGAAAUUUGAAUUGCGUUCACAAUUUUCUGGACUGAUGGAAAAAGAGUUUAAUUACCAACUACACCACAGUAAGUUGGGAAAUGAAGAACUCGUUUUUGCUUGGAAAGACAAGAAUAUUCGUCGCAAAGAACGAAACAAUUUUUUACAAAUAUAUUUUUUUUAACAAAAGCAACUCUUUCCUUAUUACCUUUCAUAGUAUACUCUAGAUCAGAAAGUCCUUCUCUAUUUGUCUCUUACCCAGGACCAGAAAGUUACAUUUCAUAGUUAGGCUAUGGAUCACAUACGCUAUGGCCUCUAGCAUUAUGGACAUUGGUUGCAUACUAAUUUACGAUUCUAGGCCAGAAAGUUGGUUGCCCUGAUAUGGCGGUCGGAAGGCGAUUUAAAGGUGUUUUUUUGAAAUGUUUUAUGACUCCUUAAG